CGGGCCGAGAGGGACGUGACCGGUUUCGACACGAUGGUCCGGCUGGGAGAAGCGUACUGCUCGAGCCUCUGGGAAUUGGUCGCCGCGGUCACGGCGGCCAGCCCCGGACGGGCGGAUGACGAGGGCCGGGAGGGAGUGGACGCGUGAUCCAGGCUUGGGAACCGAUCGUCCGCCGCUAUGCCGGCCUCUACCCGGACGAAGUUGCCGAUAUUCUCGA
rnacentral:misc_RNA from 1 species